rnacentral:rRNA from 1 species
UACAGAGGUCUCAAGCGUUGUUCGGAUUCAUUGGGCGUAAAGGGUGCGUAGGUGGCGCGCUAAGUCAGGUGUGAAAUUUCGGAGCUUAACUCCGAAACUGCAUUUGAUACUGGCGUGCUUGAGGACUGGAGAGGAGACUGGAAUUCAUGGUGUAGCAGUGAAAUGACGUAGAGAUCAUGAGGAAGACCAGUGGCGAAGGCGGGUCUCUGGACAGUUCCUGACACUGAGGCACGAAGGCCAGGGGAGCAAACGGGG